AAAUACACAAUGGCGUUCAA
rnacentral:piRNA from 1 species